UAUAGACUCUAGUCACCCUGAAUAGGAAAAGUGGUUUCAGAAAAUGGAUGGCUGGAUCGAUCACUCAAUUUAAACUUUGUUCAAUAACUACACUCUCAAAGGAAACAUCGGGGACACCUGCUCUUUCCUACAAAGACACUGACCAGACUAAUUCACAUUAAAGGAGACUGAGCGAGUGCCUUUGAAUGGGGCAUGUGACCAGGUGCCAGGUGGGCAGGAGUAGGGACAGAAGUGCCACACUGCUAAGAAGUCUACCAUGUGUAUCUGGAACUGUCUGCCAUCCAAAGGACUUUCAGCCAACAGCAAGCUAUCUACUGAGGAGUCUUUGAAGAUGGAGAUAAAGGGACUAGAGGCUUCCAACUGGCACUAGGACACAACCAUCUGGAGAGAUCCUGACGGACCUUGCUGAGCCAAGGAGGACCCUGUCAGAAUGAUGGAGUUGUCCUCUAGGUACCAUUUUGUGAAUGAAUGCCCCUGCUUGACUUUCUUCCCAGUGUCUUUCACUUAUUGUUGGCCUCCACUGGACUUUGAUUUAUCCUCCUUUGAAAUGUGUUAAUAGUGAGUAAAUCUGUAGUUUUGUAAACUCUGUCUAUGCAAAACAUCAGGAUAAUUUGGUAUGCUAAAGUAAAGACCAAUAUUUGUUUAAAUAUUAGAAGCACUGCAUAUUCUCCAGCAUUCACUUCUGUAAUUGGAUGCUUGCUAAUUGGAAUCCAGAUAUUUUUCCUAAUUUAAAGCUACCAGCCCAUUGGAUAUACCAUACACAGUACUGGAAGGUUGAUGCCUUCUUUGGCUGAACAACAGUGUCUCUGAUAAACAAACAAGAGAACAACACUGAUAUGUGCACUUGCACCUUAGAAUGUGCCACAAGCUUUAACGAUGCCCCUCCUGAAAUCCAGGGUAAAGAUAAUCUUCCAUGAUGAAGAAAGACUUCUAAAAAAAUCUAACUGUGAGCCACCAUGCACAACAGAAUCUGUCUGACUCGAUAGCGGGAAGCCGUGACAAGCGACACAUUUGUUUGAGGCUCGAGGUAAACAAGUGAACAGUCUUUACAGAGAAAACUGCCACAUUUGUCCUGUGUUCAGUCUGCCUGGGAAAAAGGACCAGCAAUUCUCCCUUUGUUAGGAUUAGUUCUUUAAUUGAUAAUUAAUUUUUGUGUUGUUGUGAAAUCAGUUACAGAGGUUAAACAUUUAAGUGAAUAGAUUCAAACGUCUAUUUGGGUAAACAAGGUGUCUUGUACUCAGGAAAGUUUUGGGAAUAUGAAAACCACAGAAGGAUGGGCUUUCGUGUCCCUUAAUGCAGAAGGUUUG